AUCUUUUGUAGUUCAUAAGUGUGAUGAUUGGAUGUUCACAAGCAUGUGUGAGACGGCCUCCCUCAAACCUUGUUAUGACAUUGGCAUAUCCAAAAUAAAA